rnacentral:rRNA from 1 species
GACGAAGGGGGCUAGCGUUGUUCGGAAUUACUGGGCGUAGCGCGUGUAGGCGGUUGUCCAAGUUGGAUGUGAAAGCCUUGAGCUCAACUCAAGAAAUGCAUUCAGGACUGGAUGACUAGAGGACCGGAGAGGAUAGUGGAAUUCCCAGUGUAGUGGUGAAAUACGUAGAGAUUGGGAAGAACACCAGUGGCGAAGGCGGCUAUCUGGACGGUUUCUGACGCUAAGACGCGAAAGCGUGGGGAGCAAACAGG